AUGAGCCCCGGAAGAUGCUCCUUCCGCAUUAACCAGCUAUCGACCUGGCUGCUCGGACUGCAGGGAGUGGGAAAGAGGCUGGGGCCCGGGCGAGGCUGUGAACCAGCCGCGCCGGCCCGGGGGCGCCCUUGGCCCAGAGGGCGAACCUCCAUACCCAGACGCAGACCUAGGACCUCGCGUAAUUAUGUCCCUCAGGCACCCCAGGUCCCGAGCAGAAGCGGCCUCUCUGCUACCCUAGUCUCCAGCUGGGAUCAGCCCUGCCAGGCCAGGACAUCCGCGCCUCACGUCGGGACUCAGGGUCCUAGGCAGCCGAGCCCCGUCGUGGCGCUGGCUCCCCAACUCGACAGGGGCAGUGGAGCCCGGCUCCGGACUGAACUCGCGGGUACGAGGACAGCCGACCCUUUCCCCGGGAUUUUUAAUCCAAGACAUGGGGUUAAAGUGACACACGGGCCCGGGGAGGAAAAGCAGGUGCACGGGAGGGAAGUUGAUUUGGGAAGGGCGUGCGCGAACAAACGCGCCGCACGCAAAGCUUCGUUUCGCCUUAUUCCAACGUCCCAGCGCGCAAAGCGCUUCGGAGGCGCGGUGUCGACGCUGUGUCAACGCGGCGCAGGGUGUGGGGAGUGCACGGAGAGAGUGUCCAUAGCACACGCUUGGCGCGCACAGCAGCUCUUGCCUGACUCGCACCUGGAGCCGCGGCCCCAGGUACACCCAGGGCUAGUGGCCCGUCAGGUUCAAGGGUUGCGCCGCGCACUGCACAGGAGCCGCGCGCGAACCACCAGACCCCUUUCCUGCCCACUCCUCGCGCAGCCCCACGGUGCGCGCACGUCUCCGUCGGGGGGCGCCGCUGCAGCCCUGAGUCUCCCCGCGGAGGCCCAUCCUCUGUCCUUCCCUCCCAGGCCCGAAGUCCCCGGGCUGCAGGGCGGGCCGGCGAUCGCUCCGCUUCCCGCGGACGCCGCGGCGCACGCUCCCACCGCUCCCUCCCCCCUGCGCUCGGGUUACAGGUUAAUGAAAUGCUCGUUUUCCUCAGUCAUUUGUUUUGUUUUCCUGCAAAGUUCUGAUAAGUAG
rnacentral:lncRNA from 1 species